rnacentral:tRNA from 1 species
AAACUUAGGAUAAUGCAAACCAAAG